GCUGGGUGUGGUGGUGCACACCUGUAAUCCCAGCUACCCAGGAGGCUGAGGCAGGGGAAUCACUUGAACCCAGGAGGCAGAGGUUGCAGUGAGCCGAGAUCGAGCCACUGCACCACAGCCUGGGCCACAGAGCAAGACUCUGCCUCAA
rnacentral:SRP_RNA from 1 species